UGCCUUUAGGGUUUCAUACUUUCAUUCUCAUCCUCAUUAUCCGCCCCCAUCUUUCCUUCCCCAUUUCUCUCUCCGUUUUCUAGAAACCCUAAACUCGCAACGCCGCUUCCCCCUGUACAAACACACAUUCUUAUGAAAUCAGAAAGAUGAAGCUUCAGUGUAGUUGUAGUCUGUGGAAAAAAGACCCAGGUAGUUUUUUUAUGGCUGAAUGUUUUCAUAGAUCUACCGGACCACUAUCGACUUUGCAGAUCUGAGUUUUUAGCUACAUUCAAGAACGGUACAAACAACAUUCUUGCGUCAAUCAGAAGGAUGAAGCUUCGGUGUAGUUGAAAUCAGGAAACAAGCAGAGCUAGGGAAGAUGACAAGCCCGGAUCUGAUAGGUUUGCUUCGGUAUAGUUGCAAUCGGUGGAUGAAGAUGGAAAUCAGAUGAAGAUGGAGUGAUGGAGAUGACAAGCAAAACUUUGCAGAUCUGAGUUUUUUUUGGUUGUUUAGUGGAUGAUUGUGGCAUUAGGUUCACCUGAGAUGUGAUUUCUUGUAUGUUGAAGGCUAUGAUGAUCCAGCUCUCCGUUUUAGCAGGCCUGUUAACUUCAUAUGCCCAUCUUUAUUUGUCAUUAGUUUAGUUUUGAAUGGAUCAAUUGUUGAUUUCUGAGUGCAAGUUAAGAUGCACGUGCAAUGCUCUUGAUGAAGGAUAGAGAUAGGGCCACUAACCAAACUGAGUGGCCUGGCCCUUAAAAAUGAUUUUUAUUUUUGUUUAAAAUUGUUAGUAUGUAUUAAAAUGAUUAAAGCGACUUCAUUGGUAUGAUACGUUCACAAACCUUCAUGGUUUAAAAAGGAAAAAAUAUAUAAAUAAUAAAGGUUCAGCGGAUGGUUCCAAGUCCUAAUUUGUUAGUUCUGUGACCCGACCCGACCCAUCCAGAAAUUUCUAAUGUAUGGUUGUGAAAACUUUGACCACCACAAAAGUGAACCCAUAGAAAAAAAUUCUCAGAUCCGCCACUGGGUAGGAUGGGUGGGGCGGGUGACCCAUAAACACUUGUUACCCAUUUUAAUUUUUUCUUUAAAUAGCUUAUUUUUUCUUUACCAGACGCCGCAGGGUAGGAUGGGCGGGUCGGGUCGGGUCGCGGCUGCCGCUAAAACGCAGCGGCGCGACUGCCGCUAAAACGCAGAGGUGUAGCUGCAGCUAAAAUGCAACGGCGCGGGUGCCGUAAUGCCAUAGCACACGGCUGCCAUAACGCCACAGCGCGUGGCGGCCGAAACAUAGAGCGCGGCUGCAGAAACGCAGCGGCCAAACGCAACGGGCACGGCUGCAGGCAGACGCAACGGGCACGGUUGCCAUAACUGAUUAGAGUGUUUUAGUUGUUGGUUAUUGUUGACAUCAUGUUGAUGAUAGUGUGUUCAUAACUGCAGGCGAGGACAUCAAGAAAAUAACUUUCUGAACACGUUUCUUAUAAUGUUUGGGAUCUUUUUCGUGCUUGUGAUGAUCAGGCAAUGCUGAUUAGAGUGUUUUAGUUGUUGGUUAUUGUUGACAUCAUGUUGAUGAUAGUGUGUUCAUAUAAUACUUUGUAAUAGCACCAGCAGCCGCACGAGGGAGUAUAUACAACUUUCUGCACAAGCAAAAUGAUUCAUUUAAGCUUCCUUUGUUACUGAAGAUAGCAAUCGAUAUAUCCAAAGGCAUCAGUUACCUGUAUCAAAACAAUAUUAUCCACAGGGACGUGAAAACCGCCAAUCUUCUGAUGGAUGAGCACGACGUUGUGAAAGUUGCUGAUUUUGGAGUUGCAAGGGUGCAGACUGAAUCUGGAGUAAUGACGGCAGAAACCGGAACAUACAGGUGGAUGGCACCCGAGGUAUGACUGUGUUUAUAACUUUAUAUAUAUUCAUGUCUUUACAAAUGGCUCCAUAUACAUUCGCAAUCGCACGAAUGUCCGGUUUGUAAAGCGCUAAUACAAGAGGAGAAGCUGAUUCCUCUGUAUGGCAGAGGGAAGACACAAACUGACCCGAGAUCCAAACGCAUACCCGGCGUUGAUAUCCCGCACAGGCCAGUUGGACAGAGAAACCGAACACAUGUAUUUAUUUGUGUCAAAAAAUAUCUUUAUUAAUUAUGUAGCUUAUACACGAUGCGUGUAACCCAUUCAUAUUAAACAAGUUAGGGGGGGUUAUAAAGCGCUUGUAAUCGAACCGAAAGCCAAACUGGUUAGCAGGUUGAACUUAUUAUAUACAUAUGUGUGUGUGUGUGUGUGUUAUUGAUUUUAAUUGUAAAUGGAUUGAUGAUGAGUUGAUUUGUGGAAUGAAAUGAGUUAAAAUGUCAUAAAUAGAACACUGUAUAAUUAAUUAAACUUGUUAAAUAGACGAAUUCGAACAUGACUGGUUUAUUAAAUGGAUUAGACACAAUAACCCAAAAUUAAAUUAUUUUUUGUAUUGGUUUUAAGUCUUGUUUCAGAUUGUGCCAAAAGUUAAUAGAUCGAAAAGGCUGCUGAUCCAAGUUUAGAAGAGGUAAGCAACGAAAGACACAACGGCUGUGCAAGUAAAGCAGGUACCCACAACACCGUUUCAUCGCUAUCCAUUGAUGGGGAAGUCUCUGGUGCGACCCCAAACUCCUGAGCCAUGGUUCCAGUACUGUUGAAGGCUAUGAGCACCAUAAUGGUGAGUGCAGUGGCUAGCUCGACACUUUCCAUUUCGGCGAGUGUAGAGAAAGAUAGGUUUAGUAGCUUGUACGAGUGUUGCAAUUGAAGUAGGAUUAGAGGUAGUUUAGUGGGGAUUAGUGGAGGAAUUUAACAGCUAAUAACAUUGUUAGUAUUAUUUAUGAAACAAAGCCUUUUCAUUUGAUAGGAAGUGAGUAUCAAAUUAGGAGACCUUUAAAAUAUUGAAACUGUAUCGGAAGCAUUUGAAUGAGGCAAAUGGUUCGAGUUUUGAUAACAAAAGUUUCUGUAAUCCACAUUGUCAUUGGCUUUUGUAACACCGUCUUUAUGAAGUUACUGGUUUAUUUCAAGUGAUUCAUAGAUUCAACAAAGCCCUUUUGGGAAUUUUUUUAUCUUCUUAGUUUCAUAUAUCUUUUAAGCACCCAAUUGCUGCUGGUAUUUGAUUUUAUAGGGCUUCUAAAAUCUCUGGAUUGCUGCUGCAUACAUCAGUACAUUAUUAUUUUCAAGGCAAUCUUGUGUUAGCAUAAUACAGUUAACUAUUUUUGUAGUGGGUUCAUCUUUUAGUCCUUUCAGCUAGAUUACUUAAUUAGCUUGUAUAUUUAUUUGCAUUUCUUUGUUUUCAUUGUAUGCACUUUUCAGAAUGAUAGAACCCUAUCAAUGUCUUUUUCUAAUCCUAUUUAAAUUGAGCUUUGGUUGGUCAAUUAUUGCAAGGAUGAGCAAAUGGUACUAGGUACCGGUUCAGAAUCGGUACUGAAUUUCUCGAACCUGUUCGAUUUUCAGUACCAGUUUUUACCUUCAAAUUCCGGUCCGUACCGGUAACGAACCGUAUCGUACCAGGUAUUUUUGGUACCGUUACCCAUUUUUUUUGGAUUUUCGGUAUCGUUUGGUACCGAGCUUAUCCCUAAUUUAUUGUACUGAUCAUGUGAUGACAUUUAGUUUAUGUUUGACUUUCUUGAUUGCACUCUGACCUAUACCAAAAACUUUAUUCAAUAAAAUGUUGCUUUUUGUUACAAGUUUUAUGAUUCAAAGCAGAUUGUUCCUAAUAGACCCUCUAUUAGUUCCUUUACUGCAAUUAUUUGAUGGGACAUGGCAAUCAUGAUGGGCUUUCCAAAAACCAAACAUGGAAAUUUGAGGUGCGAGGCGCUGUGGAAUACGAGAAAUCACUUCUGGAACAUGAUUCGAGAAAUCACCGAGUUUAAAGACAAUGUUUUGAGGUACUAGCAUACAUUUUGAAGGUUGUUUGUUGAUUGAAGGUGUGUUCUCAAGGCGGGAAACAUGGUUGCACUACCCAAGGGCAUUCCAUUCGCGUAUUCUUUUCGUUUAACUCAGAACCUUUAUUCAUCAUCAACUCUAUUUUUCUUCUUUCCCUUUUUGUCUUAAUCAUAUAAAGGCACCCGAACCCGAAAGAUUAAACCCAUUAAACCCUAAAUUAUAGGGUAAAUAAAUAUUACAUUCAUAUUCUCUUAAGAUUCUUUCUUGUGAAAUACAAAAAACUACUAGGUGUCUACUAUCAUUCUACAAUCUUUGUUUUUCAGUUUCAACAUGAAUCACUGAUGAUCGCAACUUAUUUUGUAAGAUAUGAAAUGCCGCAAAAGGAGGUGUUUUAACGAAUUUAGAAUUUAGAAACAUAUACACUGAGGGUGCUCUUCACUGAAUUCUUUCCUGCUUUUGAUUCUUUUUCUAAUUCAAGGAUGCUCUUCACUGAAUUUUGACGGUCUGGCCUUGUUGGAUUUUCGAGCAAUAGUAUUGCAUGGUCCAUAUGGCGACUUCAGAAACUGGCCUUGUAGGAAGCAAGCGGUGAAUAUUUUCGUUUGCUUUGGUUGUUGGUUGAUAGAAAUUGAUCAUUUUAGCCAUUUUUACUAUUUAAGUGUAAAGUAAACACUAAGAUAUGGUUGAGCAAAUAAAGUCGUUAAUACCUUUGUACUCAUUAACCCCUAAACAAACUACCCCUUUGAAUGAACUAUGUUAGGAUUAAAUCUUGUGCAUACAAUGGAUAAUAUGGAUAUAUGAUGUUUUUUGUUUGGUUUGUUUGAAGGGAUCUCAAGGGGCUAUCAUUGGAAGGAUUAGUGGUAGCUGAGAUAUGGAACCUCACCCUCCUUGAAUGCUACAGACUUUAGAUUUUUUUCUUCUUCUUUUAGAGUUUGGUAAUUUCUUUUUUUUUUUCGCAUUUGUAUUUUAUGGUUUAUUUAAAAAACACAACUUGUUGUAGUGUAACAUAUUGGAUUUUGAGAGUA